GACGGGUGAGUAACACGUGGGUAACCUACCUAUAAGACUGGGAUAACUUCGGGAAACCGGAGCUAAUACCGGAUAAUAUUUCGAACCGCAUGGUUCGAUAGUGAAAGAUGGUUUUGCUAUCACUUAUAGAUGGACCCGCGCCGUAUUAGCUAGUUGGUGAGGUAACGGCUCACCAAGGCAACGAUACGUAGCCGACCUGAGAGGGUGAUCGGCCACACUGGAACUGAGACACGGUCCAGACUCCUACGGGAGGCAGCAGUAGGGAAUCUUCCGCAAUGGGCGAAAGCCUGACGGAGCAACGCCGCGUGAGUGAUGAAGGUCUUAGGAUCGUAAAACUCUGUUAUUAGGGAAGAACAAACGUGUAAGUAACUGUGCACGUCUUGACGGUACCUAAUCAGAAAGCCACGGCUAACUACGUGCCAGCAGCCGCGGUAAUACGUAGGUGGCAAGCGUUAUCCGGAAUUAUUGGGCGUAAAGCGCGCGUAGGCGGUUUUUUAAGUCUGAUGUGAAAGCCCACGGCUCAACCGUGGAGGGUCAUUGGAAACUGGAAAACUUGAGUGCAGAAGAGGAAAGUGGAAUUCCAUGUGUAGCCGGUGAAAUGCGCAGAGAUAUGGAGGAACACCAGUGGCGAAGGCGACUUUCUGGUCUGUAACUGACGCUGAUGUGCGAAAGCGUGGGGAUCAAACAGGAUUAGAUACCCUGGUAGUCCACGCCGUAAACGAUGAGUGCUAAGUGUUAGGGGUUUCCGCCCCUUAGUGCUGCAGCUAACGCAUUAAGCACUCCGCCUG
rnacentral:rRNA from 1 species